rnacentral:rRNA from 1 species
GUCAAGUCAUCAUGCCCCUUAUGUCCAGGGCUUCACGCAUGCUACAAUGGCCGGUACAGAGGGCUGCGAUGUCGUGAGGCGGAGCGAAUCUCUUAAAGCCGGUCUCAGUUCGGAUCGGGGUCUGCAACUCGACCCCGUGAAGUCGGAGUCGCUAGUAAUCGCAGAUCAGCAACGCUGCGGUGAAUACGUUCCCGGGCCUU